UUUCCCUAAUCUUACAUAGAAUAUGUCCAUCAUGGUGUUUCCAAGAGAAGAGAAGCUGGAGAAGCUUACUCAGGAAGAGAUCAUCUCCAACACCAAGCUAGUGAUCCAGGGUCUGGAGGCCCUGAAGAACGAGCACAACUCCAUCCUCCACAGCCUCCUGGAGACCAUCAAGUGCCUAAAGAAGGACGAAGAGGCCAACCUGGUGCACGAGAAGUCCAACCUGCUCCGCAAGUCCGUGGAGAUGAUCGAGCUGGGCCUGGGAGAAGCGCAGGUGAUGAUGGCCCUGUCCAACCACCUGAACGCGGUGGAGUCGGAGAAGCAGAAGCUGCGUGCGCAGGUGAGGAGGCUCUGCCAGGAGAACCAGUGGCUGCGCGACGAGCUGGCCAACACCCAGCAGAAGCUGCAGAAGAGCGAGCAGAGCGUGGCCCAGCUGGAGGAGGAGAAGAAGCACCUGGAGUUCAUGAACCAGCUCAAGAAGUACGACGAGGACGUCUCGCCCACUCAGGAGGAGAAGGACCGAGAAACACCAAAGGACUCCCUGGACGACCUCUUCCCCAACGACGAGGAGGAGCACGGGCAAGGAAGUCAGCACCAACACAACAGUGCGGCAGUGGCAGCGGCUCAGCAGGGGGGCUACGAGAUCCCCGCCCGCCUGAGGACCCUGCACAACCUGGUGAUCCAGUACGCCUCCCAGGGCCGCUACGAGGUGGCUGUCCCUCUCUGCAAGCAGGCUCUGGAGGACCUGGAGAAGACCUCUGGACACGACCACCCCGACGUGGCCACCAUGCUCAACAUCCUGGCCCUGGUCUACAGGGAUCAGAACAAAUACAAAGAGGCCGCCCAUCUGCUCAACGAUGCCCUGUCCAUCCGUGAGAAAACCCUGGGCAAAGAUCACCCCGCUGUUGCUGCGACGCUGAACAACUUGGCUGUGCUGUACGGAAAGAGGGGGAAGUACAAGGAGGCCGAGCCGCUGUGCAAGAGGGCUCUGGAGAUCAGAGAGAAGGUCCUGGGGAAGGACCACCCAGAUGUGGCCAAGCAGCUGAACAACCUGGCUCUGCUCUGCCAGAACCAGGGCAAGUACGAGGAGGUAGAGUACUACUACUGCCGGGCCCUGGAGAUCUAUGAGAGCAGGCUGGGGCCAGACGAUGCCAACGUGGCCAAGACCAAGAACAACCUGGCGUCCUGCUUCCUCAAACAGGGGAAAUACAAGGAGGCUGAGAUUCUGUACAAAGAGAUUCUGACUCGUGCUCAUGAGAAAGAGUUUGGAUCUGUUGAUGCUGAGAACAAGCCCAUCUGGAUGCAUGCAGAGGAAAGAGAGGAGAGCAAGGGCAAGCACAGAGACAACACUCCCUACGGAGAGUACGGAGGCUGGUACAAGGCCUGCAAAGUCAACAGCCCGACAGUGAACACCACCCUGAGGAACCUGGGGGCCCUGUACCGCCGGCAGGGCAAGCUGGAGGCUGCUGAGACCCUGGAGGAGUGCGCUGUGAGGUCUCGCAAGCAGAGCAGCACAGGCAUCGACCCCAUUCACCAGACUCGUGUGGUGGAGAUCCUGAAGGAUACAGACGGCGACAGGCGGAGGAGCAGGGAGAGCCUGAGCAGCGUUAAGUAUGAGAGCGGCUCUGAGACCGGAGAGGAAGUGAGUAUUGGGGCCGAAUGGAAUGGGGCCUAAGCCAUCAAGAUUAUUCCUCCAUCCUUCUCUCCUUCCCCAACACAAUAGCAAAAAGGAAGUGUGUUGUCGUUCCCUCUGGCCUCCUCUGUCCCAACAAAGCAACAGCUCCUCUGCCCCUCCCGGUGCCAGCAGAGACACAGAAAGCACCCCCCCCACCCUCUCGCGGCUGUCAUCUCUGCCCCCCCACCCUGCUGGGACGUUUUGGUCUUCUCAUCUCGGCUCUCUCUCUUCCUUUCACUCUCGAUCCUUUUCCUCUCACUAACCCUGUGUCAAAAGGCUUGUCUUCUCUCUCUGUAACGUAAACAAAUCAUUGUGUGUGAAAUCUCUUUCCCUGUGAGGAAGCCACUCGCACAUUUUUUUCCUCUCUCCAACACACAUUUGUAAUUUUUCCUAGCUACAUAGUAGAUGUAUUUGGCUGGAUAAGGGGAGCAGGAAGGUUAUUUAUUGGAAGAAGGCAAAAGAUGAUUUGAGGAGGUUUUGACUAGAGAAAUCACAGAAGUAACGGUUAAUAGUCAAUGUAAAUCAAAACUGCUGUGCAUUGAUCUCAAUCUGCUUAACAACAAAUGAAAGGUGACCUCAAAGCUAGCUUCCAACCUGUUGCCUGUAUUUAGCCCUUAUUUUAUUCAGUUUUUAAAGUUUUUUUUUAGUCGUUGGUGAGUUUUUAGUUCUUCCCAAUAAUGAGAUCAAACGCUUAAGCAGCUGAGAAAUAAAUGGUACUGUAUAGUUUCACAUGCUAAUCCAAAUAUCUAAUUUCUUUUUAACAUCUGAAAUGAGAAGGGAGCAUUGCCAUUUUGUUUUUUUUAUAGAUUUAUUUCCUUUUUAAUUUGUAUCAUUUUGUUUACAUUUUUUUAAAGUGUUGAUUCUUUUGUGGCUGAAUAUUAAGGCAGUAGUUUGUGCCACAGUGUGAAAAAGACCAGAAGGCCCGAAAUCAGUCGAAAGCAAAUUGUCAGAUCACAGCAAGCUGUUGCCAUGGCAAUUCAUGUUCAAUUCGCUCUCUCUGGUGUCCUUGGUUUGAUUGAGUAUUGAUGCAGGCUCUACGCUUGAACAAUAUAUACACAGUAGCUCACAUUUACAAAGGGAAUUAGCAAUGUUAGCGACUGUUGUAAAGCUAAUACGAUGCUAGAGACCAACGGACACUGGCCACCUGAGAGAUUGCUUAAUAUUAGUAAAUCAAAGAUAAUGGCCAGAAUUGCCUUUUCAUUUGUCGGUGCAGUAUUAGAAGCUUUGGAUUCCACAGUAGUUUAGUGUGUAUUGGUGUAUGUGUUGGUGGUACAGUCCACUCUGGCUAUUUUGAACACAAAGCUUAAUGGAGUGUGUUGCCUUUUUGUUUUUAUUACACAGUCGUUUGCAAAGUAAACAUUGUCACUCUGGUGAAUGAUGUUUUUAGACAACCGAAAAAAAAGUGCAGUGCGAGUGUUUCCUCAAGAUCAACAUAUUGUUAUUUCAGAUGUUUAACUAACUGAAUGUAAAACGACUUCUUUAAAAAGUGUAGGCUGUAUUUCUAGAUCUGUGUAUUCAUUAUACGGCUUUUCGGUAUGCUACCUGAUUCUUCAUUCCUUCCAAUGAGUACACCUUUACUUGUAAUGCAACUGAACAAAAGGAAUUGACUAUGUACAUCACAUAAUUAUGACAAUAUUGUUGUGUUAGUGGAAUGCUUAUUUAUUGAACUGUCUAUUCUCGACAUAUAUAUAUAUAGUGUGACUUCAGUUUCCCAAAGAGGAAUUACAUUAAUGGUAAGGUCUAUAAGCACUAUCUUAGUAUAAGUAGGACUGCAUUAUAUUUACCAUUCUGCAUUGUGAAGAUUAUUGCAUCAACACUUGUUGGUAUUCUCAAAUAAAAGUUUUUCAUUUGUGGAGUUUUGUCUUUUUCUCUGCAUCGGACCGAGAAUACUGUGGUAUUGCGCGAUCAGUGGAAACCGAUCAUUGUGUUGAGUCUCUGCUCAGUGGAACAGAAAUGUCCAAUACCUGUAUACAUCCUCUGGUUUACCCACAAUGCCCUCUGCUGGUGAUAUGCCUGAUUGCAUCAUGAUUAUUAAAAUACAAUCAAAGUUAAUACAUUGUUUUGAAUGCAUUCCACCAAAGCUAGAGGGUGUUACACUAACAGUGUUUACUGGUCAGUUAGUGAAUAAACACACACUAUGCAGGACAGCUAAUAGGUAGCAUUAUAAUUCCAAAAUGAAUGGAUUUAUGGAAGAAGAAACGUUGAGCUUUAUAUUUUCAUUAACUUUUAAUCUGCUGGUUGACUUGUUCAUAAAACAAUCAGAAUAAAGUGACAAAUCCAGCAGGCCAAGUUGAUCAAUGAACCUGAACCCAAAGAUAUUCUUGCCAUCAUGAAAGACAAAGAAAUUAACAAAUAUUACCGAAUAAAAACUCUUAAACAAUGCUAUUUUGGCAUUGUUUCUUAAAAAAGAAGAUGAAUUUACCAGAAUGAAGGAAAAUGACACAGCACACUUACUGGAGCACAAUGAGUUCAGUACUCCAACUGAAGUGACGACAGUUUGUUCUAAUGGUGUACCAUUUGAGAAGAACAUUUACUCAAUGAUUCAGUACAAUUAGGUCAUGUUGAAUGUAAGUUAUCAGAAAGUGAAAAGAUGCUAGCAUUGCCUGAAAUCGUUAACAAUGCAGACGGUUCAGCAACAUAUUUCAUCACCUAAUGAAUUGCUCUUAAAAUAAUAUAAUUCAUGACAUGUGUAAACCCCUUUUUGUGAGACUCCACGCUUUUUGGCUGCUGCUACUAGCCAUUCACAACAGGACUGGCCUACAUCCAGUAAAAGGAUAAUGAUUUGCAGAUGUGAGUUCUUGUCUCUUCAGUGCAGAAUGCUUGUGCUGAUGCUUGUGUGUGUCUGUAGGACGGCAGCGGGGCUCUUCAGCGCAGCGGCUCCCUGGGGAAGCUCCGGGAUGUCCUGCGGCGCAGCAGCGAGCUGCUGGUGAAGAAACUGCAGGGCAACGGGCCGCCUGAGCCUCGCAGCACCAACAUGAAGCGCGCUGCUUCCUUGAAUUACCUGAACAAAACCAGUGAUGACCCGUUCCAGACUCGGGGAGUUCGUAAUUUGAAGGAGAGCCGGGGCCUGAGCUCCAGCACUGUGGAUCUCUACACUGGAAACUGAGCAGCAGGAGUCUGAUCAGCUGAUCUGUUCCCGAUCCAGAGAGGCUCUGACCUUUGGCUCGUUAAUGAUCACAACAACACUACCAGACAGACUCCAUCACACUGCCUUCCUCUGCUUGUUAGCAUCAGACCCCAAGACCCACAUCCUCCUGAGUUAAGACCCAAAGACAUGUUCGGUCAUCAACACAUUAACAAACACAUUUGGUGGGUUUUCUUUCCAGUUUGUUUUUAAACCAGGUUGUUUCCUUUUGGUCUUCCAGAGACAGAUUGAUGUAUUUUCCCCUCAUCGUGUUCCUAGCAAUGGUGAUGCCUCAGUGCCUCCUAGAUAUGGCCGAGAAAAUGUACCUCAUCUCUCCCCUUAUUCAUCAUCUGUGACUCUGCACUUUGACUGCAAACGUUGCCAUAUUGUCUCCUUCUCCUGUAAAUGUCUCCCAAUGUUGUGUGACUUGAGAUCCUUGAUUGUCUUCCUGUGCCAUCUCUAGGUCUAAAUUAGAAAAGAAAUAGGUUGUACAUUUCUAUUUUCUCACAAACUAGUUAUAAUAAAUAGGCCUGGUGGCUAUGAAAUUAUAUAAUGUAAUAUUAUGACAAAAAAUCAUUUUAUUUUCAUUUUAAUGAUUUUGCCUAUUGAGAUUUCUUUGCAAUGCGAGGUGUUGGUUAAAGCUUUGGGAAACAGGGUGACUUGUUUAUCUUACUGACAUGAGUUGAGUCAUGUGACUUGUUUAGGGUAACUUUAUACAAAGUUUGGGGGAAAAAUAGAAAUUGAUGCUGCUUUUAUCUCCAAGUGUGUUUUUCUGCAUUGCAGAGAAAAUGUAUUUGAGGCAUUUAUGGUUUGUAAAAUA